rnacentral:rRNA from 1 species
AUUGAACGCUGGCGGCAGGCCUAACACAUGCAAGUCGAACGGUAACAGGAAGCAGCUUGCUGCUUCGCUGACGAGUGGCGGACGGGUGAGUAAUGUCUGGGAAGCUGCCUGAUGGAGGGGGAUAACUACUGGAAACGGUAGCUAAUACCGCAUAAUGUCGCAAGACCAAAGAGGGGGACCUUCGGGCCUCUUGCCAUCGGAUGUGCCCAGAUGGGAUUAGCUUGUUGGUGGGGUAGCGGCUCACCAAGGCGACGAUCCCUAGCUGGUCUGAGAGGAUGACCAGCCACACUGGAACUGAGACACGGUCCAGACUCCUACGGGAGGCAGCAGUGGGGAAUAUUGCACAAUGGGCGCAAGCCUGAUGCAGCCAUGCCGCGUGUAUGAAGAAGGCCUUCGGGUUGUAAAGUACUUUCAGCGGGGAGGAAGGGAGUAAAGUUAAUACCUUUGCUCAUUGACGUUACCCGCAGAAGAAGCACCGGCUAACUCCGUG